rnacentral:sRNA from 1 species
UGCUAUUGUUAGCUUUACCUGUGUAAACCAGUGUGUUCCCUCGAGUAACCACAAGAGCACUUGCUGUUAUAGGCGACGUCUGACCCCUCCCACAUACUCAGCUAAACCUUAUGGCUACUCAGGGAGACGUGGCCUGUGCUCACUGGAUGCUUCAAGAAGGUGCGGGAUGUCCCAGAACAUGAGGUGCCAGUGUCGGUGGGCUGGACAUAUCCCAGGUAUUGACUUUGCUCACCAGCAUGCUGGUGCCCUAGGAAGGACCUGGCUUUGAUCCAGCCCUCGCUGGAAAAGUCUGGACAUAAAAUAAGUACACCAGCUAAGGACAGUUUGGAAUAAGAUAAACAUUCAACAGCCCCUUAUCAACGGGACAUAAACAUCUAUGUUUCAGAAAGAAAACGAAAACACUUUUGGAAAGAAGACAGGUCCUGACUUUAUUCAAACAAUGCUAUCUGCCCAGAUAAGCAGGGAAAUAGGAUCCUACAGCUCUGCCUGCUGUGUGCUCUCUCCUACGCGUGCCGGAUCCCUUUAAACUCCGCCGGGAACAAUAAGUUGUUUUCUUUCCUUGUCUGCUCAUUUUAUGAUCUAGUUCUCAAGUAACUGAUUAUAUGUUGGACAUAAAAGUGAGAUAUUUAUUUUCAAAUGCGACUGCAUACUGCUGCUGACACAUUUACUAUCAGGGAGAUUGAAUUAUUUUUAAGGCUGCUGUUUUGAAAUGUCUCUUGUAUGUUGAACUUAUAUUGUGUUUCCUAUCGUGUCGAGCACUCAGAAAGUGUCAGGAGAUAGAAACCGGCUCAAGUCUGUUCCCGCUUCUGGAAGAACUUUUCUGCAUACACUGGCUAUAGAUGGGGAUGGAACCCGCCAGCCUCCCUUCACACAUCUCCUUCCAGAUUCUCCCCGGCUCGCUGAGAAACCUGUUCUCGUCGCUUCAGUCACACAGAUGGCAUGCUAACCGUGCUGGGACAGAGCGCACAGUGAGCAGACUUAACAAAGAGUGACACAAGGCAACAGAGGAACCCACAACGUCUUGCCUGGCACCAUCAUGACGGGACACACCAAGACCUGCUGGGUCUGCCGCCACGCAUCUGCAAUCUCAGCACCGGGAGACAGAGACAGGAGGAUCCUGGGGCUCACUGUCCUCUCACACAGCUGGAGCAGUGAGGUCCAGGGUCAGUGAGAGAUCAA